GGACAGAGCUUAAGCAUGGCAAAACAUGGCCUUCGAGUAAAGCAUAAGCAAAUACCUUCACACGAUCCACAUCACUGGUAACUGAUACACUGUAUAAUGGCAACUGCCAAAGGUAAGGCCCAAAAGUUGGAAUGACCCAGUGAUAUACUUGGUCAGUUUGAGGCUCAUAAUAAGGUUUGCAAUGCCACAAGAAAGUUUUGCAAUAGUCAUCACCAUGAAUGUCCACAAGUUUAUGAAGUAGGUUGCCCCACAAAGAAAAAUAAAAGCACCAAAUUGCAUGAGCACCCAUCCAUAAAGGAAGAAUGCAAAUUUUUGCACAAAGCAUAUGAGCUCAAUGGGUAUAGAGAAGUAAAUCACAAAGAAAAUGUAAAUCUGAUAACCAUCACAAAGAAAAUGUUUUGAUGAACCUAUUAGAAUAGGUAACAAUAGUGCCUGUACGAGUUUAUAGAGUAAAAACUGCCAUUAUUACUUGCAAAAUAAUAUGGCUCGAACAGAGAACCUUCCUUGGUUGCUUGCUCUUAGCAUUGGUUAUGGCAUGCCUCAGGAUUAGAAACUAAUCUGUUACAUACAAUUCAACAGAGACUCUGAUUCCAAUUGUCUCAAAUGCAAACAAUUUUUAUCAUAUAUUUGCAAUUUUCCUCAGUCAGUACUCAGUAGACUUCUAUGUUACAAGCAAAAAUAGGCACAUAGGAUUACCUUACACACUUUGUAAUCAAUCGGUUUCACUCAAGUGAAGGAAGCUUCAUUUCUAUUUUGGCACAACUCAAGGAAGCUCUUUCAGAAUAGGAACAAUGUUAUACCAGUAUCUCCAAUCUAGCUCCCCAUAUCCUUUUUCUUUUUAUCCUUCUUCACCUUCUUAAGAAAGCGUUCAUGAGGCUCUAAUUGUACUUCAACAUGCAUCUGUGUCCAAAGUGCUCCAAAAUGAUCAUGAAAGCUCUUCUUAAACCAGUGUAAAAUUUCUGAAUGCAAUUCAUUGGGAUUCUCUUUCCAUACUUCUCUUAGCAUCGCACAACUAUCAAUCGACAAUGUCUUUAACUUAUACAUAAGGUCGCCAACCCGUCUUUCACCUACAGCCUCUUGGCCCAAAAUGAUACUGGGACGAGCUGCCAUAAAAUUACGGACAGAGCUUAAGCAUGGCAAAACAUGGCCUUCGAGUAAAGCAUAAGCAAAUACCUUCACACGAUCCACAUCACUGGUAACUGAUACACUGUAUAAUGGCAACUGCCAAAGGUAAGGCCCAAAAGUUGGAAUGACCCAGUGAUAUACUUGGUCAGUUUGAGGCUCAUAAUAAGGUUUAGGGUCCUCAACAUCAGAAAAACUGCACAAAGACCCAGCAUAUUUAACAAGCCAUUUUGAUUUCACACUUGUCGCUCCAUGAACAUAUGGUCGUUUUGUAUGCAGCAAUUCAC
rnacentral:lncRNA from 1 species